rnacentral:rRNA from 1 species
UUGGGAAUUUUGCACAAUGGACGAAAGUCUGAUGCAGCGACGCCGCGUGGGGGAUGAAGAUUUUCGGAUUGUAAACCCCUUUUACGAGAGAGUAAUUUUUGAACGUAUCUCGUGAAUAAGCACCGGCUAACUCCGUGCCAGCAGCCGCGGUAAUACGGAGGGUGCAAACGUUGUCCGGAAUCACUGGGCGUAAAGAGCAUGUAGGUGGUUAUAUAAGUAAGCGAUUAAAGACCGACGCCUAACGUCGGGAAGGUUGCUUAGACUGUAUGACUUGAGUAUGGCAGGGGUAAGCGGAACUUUAGGUGUAGGAGUGAAAUCCGUAGAUAUCUAAAGGAACACCAAUGGCGAAGGCAGCUUACUGGGCCAUUACUGACACUGAGAUGCGAAAGCGUGGGGAGCAAACGGG